rnacentral:rRNA from 1 species
UACGUAGGGUGCAAGCGUUGUCCGGAAUUAUUGGGCGUAAAGAGCUUGUAGGCGGUUUGUCGCGUCUGCCGUGAAAAUUCGAGGCUCAACCUCGAACUUGCGGUGGGUACGGGCAGACUAGAGUGUGGUAGGGGGAGACUGGAAUUCCUGGUGUAGCGGUGAAAAUGCGCAGAUAUCAGGAGGAACACCGAUGGCGAAGGCAGGUCUCUGGGCCACUACUGACGCUGAUGCGCGAAAGCCAGGGGAGCAAACGGG